AGGACGAACGCUGGCGGCGUGCUUAACACAUGCAAGUGGAGCGACGAACCAGGGCUUGCCCUGGGGCAGAGCCGCGAACGGGUGAGUAACACGUGGGUAACGUGCCCCGAUGACUGGGACAACCCGGGGAAACCCGGGCUAAUACCGGAUAUGCCCCCUCACGAGAGUGAGGUGUGUAAAGGAAGCUUCGGCCUCCGCAUCGGGAUCGGCCCGCGGCGCAUUAGCUUGUUGGUGGGGUAACGGCCUACCAAGGCAACGAUGCGUAGCUGGUCUGAGAGGACGAUCAGCCACACUGGGACUGAGACACGGCCCAGACUCCUACGGGAGGCAGCAGUGGGAAUCUUGCGCAAAUGCGCGAAAGCGUGACGCAGCAACGCCGCGUGGGGGGAAGACGGCCUUCGGUGUAAACCCGUUCUACGUUGGACGAAGGUCGGCGGUGAAUAGCGUUCCGACUCGACGUACCUCAACCAAGAACGACCCGACGUAACCUACGUACGCCAGCAGCCGC
rnacentral:rRNA from 1 species